CUUUGACUUUAAUUUAAAUUGCGUCUGUCUUUGCAAGAGCCGGUAAAUGUUAUCAAAAUUUUUUAUGAAUGUUUUGAAAAUGCUACUUUAGCUGCAAGGCUGUAUGCUCAACGUUUUCCUCAAAACCGGCGUCUGAGUAGAAACAUAUUUCUUCGUUUGGCCGUCGUUUUCGGACAACAGGUAGUGUAGUCCAUCCAACUUACCGUAGACAAGGUCGCAGGAGAAUGGAGGAAAACAUAAUAAAUUGUUUGGUCUAUGUAGAAUUUGAUCCGCACUUAAGCAUCAGAACUAUUUCAGGCGAUUUAGGCAUACCUCGUUCUGUAGUUCACAGAAUUUUGCAGGAACACAGAUUUCAUUCAUUCCAUAUAGUACUCCACCAGGCAUUAAAUCUAGAAGACUAUGACAGAAGACUAGAUUAUUGUCAUUGGAUGGAGAAUAUGUUGCUCGAAAAUCCAAAUUUUCUCAACGAAAUUUUAUGGACAGACGAGGCAACGUUCAAUAGUGGCGGAGGAGUUAACAGACAUAAUAUGCACUAUUGGUCUGAAACUAACCCUCCUUGGAUGCGCGAGAUCCAGCAUCAGGGAAGGUGGAGUGUUAAUGUCUGGUGCGGUGUAAUAGGAUCUCAGGUUAUAGGUCCAUUUUUAUUUGAUGAGAGCCUAACUGGAGAACGAUAUCUUGGAUUCUUAAGAAAUGAGCUCCCAGCAUUAUUAGAAGAGGUGCCUCUGUUUAUAAGAGCCAACAUGUUUUUACAACAUGACGGAUGCCCGGCUCAUUUCGCGGUACAAAUGCGAACGUUACUUAAUCAGCGGUACCCUGAUCGGUGGAUUGGCAGAGGUAGCUUUUUCCCUUGGCCGGCAAGAUCGCCAGAUUUAACCUGCCUUGACUUUUAUUUAUGGGGUAGAAUAAAAGUCAUUGUAUUUUCUUCGAUUCCUACCAAUAGAGAAAAUAUGAAACAGCGAAUAAGGGGCGCUAUUCGGAGUUUACCAGCCGCAGAAAUAGAGGCAGUCGUGGAAUCAACCCGACGAAGAGUUCAAAAUUGUAUAAAAGAAGACGGAAGACAAUUCGAACACCUCGGCAGGCAUUAGAUUAGUGUAGGAAUUAAAAUAUUAUUAUUUUUUAUUCCAUUUAAAAUAAGCAAGAUUUUUAUUUUUUUUCAGUUUAAUCGGUACCAAGUGCCAAAACUAUCAAAAUAUUUUUGUCGUGUUACAAUGACGCGUCGACGUUGAUAAAUAUUUAAAACGUUCCUAUGCAUAGUUUUCCUAGUUUUCCCAUAAACAUUGAUUUAUUACUUCAUUUAUUACCAAUGAAACUUCCUGUAUAAAGAAGUGUAUAAAUAAACGCCACCUUCCGGAAUUUCUAAAACGCCGGUAUACCAAGAUUGUUUCUCUACACGAAAAUUCAUUUAGACACCAGUUUUUUUAACCCAGCUGGUAAAUAGAACUUAACGACCAAAUUUAAUGUUUUCACUUUCUAAUGAACAAAUUUUUUUUUGUAACUUUAGUUAGAGACGUGAUAUCAAAAUGCGGUUUUUACUAAAUUAUUAGGCUUUGUUCUCCACUCUUAAUACCGUAAAAAAACACACAUGGUGCAUUUGAGUUUCUUAAAAUAAUCAGUCGAAUAGCGUAAGUUAGAAGUAGACGCCCCCUAGCGGGUUUUACGAAAAUUUUCCAAUAAUUUCUUUUUGGUAGAAAAAUAAAGCAAUAAAAGAGCUUUUAAAAAAAUCGGUGCAGCCAAAGCCUACUUCUUACCAUUUUUCUCAUUUAAGAUUGAAACUCUCCCCACUACUUUGUUUGACAUUUGACAGAAAUGGUUGUCAAAACAUUUUUGUCAAGAAUACUUUGUAGAUUAUUUCGGUAAUAUUUUGGGAUGCAAGUUAUUGAAGGUUUUUUGGAAAAAAUAGACUUUAAAGUUUUUAAGUAUAGCUAAAACGCCCUCUAGCGGUUGACCAAUGAACUUCAAAAUAUUUUCCAGCUAUUUUUUUUGGGCCACUUUUAUACUAAUUUUUUUUUUCAACGCUCUACGAUUAUUGGGGCCUGAUAUACAGCCGAGGAACAUUCUUAAUGGGACACCCUGUACAGCGGCAAUUGUAAAUAUUUGAUGUUAAUAAAAUGAUUAAGCUAGGUUCAUUUAUACAAUUUUAUGAUAUAUUUGUGUUUAUUUAAUUCAGAUGGGGAUCUAAAAAAAUACAUAAAAGAGAAGAAAGUAGCUUGAGUGUACGUUGAGUAAGAGUUUAAUGUUAAAAAUUAUUAGGAAAACAAAUAUGCCAAAU
rnacentral:lncRNA from 1 species